CCAGAGAGCAAAAACGAACAAAAUACAGAAAACAGGAGAAGAAAAACAAAACAAAAUGGACAAACGGGAAAAGAAUAGGAAACCUGUUAAUCAAGGCAAAUCGUAGACAUGACUCCAUCCUGGUGCGGUUUAUAUCACGCCCCACACAGACCCGGGAAAACUGGUGGCAACCUUCAGUCCCUAUGACUCUCCAUGGGAACAGUCACGGGGUCUCAUUUUCUCCUCGAUUAGCAUUCCCCUGACUUCCCUGUUCACUUCAUCCCUCCCCAAUACAACACAGCUUAUUUUCAAUUCCCAGGGCUGUGUGUGAGUGGUAUAAACCGGAUAGACGGUGCUCCAGCCAUGGGUUGGAGUUUCUGACCCCGGCUGGGGCGCUGGCCUGGAAGUCAGGCUGUUCUCCACUGAACCCACAGGCAGAACGUCGUGUAUCCCCCCUCUGGUGUGUGUGUGCAGCAGGAGGCGGCGUCUUGCACUGAAGGUGGUGGGCUGUGCUUGCUGCUCAAAGAGUUGGCCCCGUUGCUUCCACCUGGCUCUGUGGACAAGACUGCUCUUUAUUCCCCAGCAUGUGCCAGGUCAAUGGCAUGCUGGGGACAGAAGAAACAAAAACAGGAGGAGGAAGAGCAUCUUGCAUGCCAUGCUACCCUCCCCAGCUCUCCCACAUGCGGCUGCGGGUUUCACCAGGGUGGAGUUUAAAGAGUCUCAGCAGAGGCAGCUGUCCAGCCUCCUGAGUAUGGAAUCACCGUGUCACCAUCCCAGGCCAGCUCUAUCCCAUUGUCCAGGCUGGCAUCCUUCCUGAGCCUAGGUCAUCUUCCAGCUGCCUGGGCAGUGCUAUGCCCCAGGGAGCCCAUGCUUCCCUCCACUUGCACCAGGAGAGGGUUCCUUACCUAGCAGGCUUGGCCUCACAUAGGGGCUUAGUAGAGCCAUUGGGAUAUAGAGAAUUCCCUGGGUAUGGCAGAUUUGAGCAGGGAGGUCCUACUCACCCCUGAACAAUAUCCUUGGUGUAACUGACAAGAAGUGACUUGGAAAUUAUGACAGCUCCCUCAGAUCCCUCACAGCAACCCAUGGCAGGACCCUAAGGUAGGGACUCUCUCAGUAGUGCUUCAUUCACUGUGAUCUUCCCAGACUCUCUGAGCUAUUACUACCUUCUUCCACACAGCACCAAAUCCAUGCCUCUUUUACCUACUCUCACCUCUUGCCCUAAUUCCUUGUUUCUCACCCCUUCUGUCCUAUAGCUUUCAUAGUCAUUCUGACCAGACCAUCCAGGAGCUGGGAGGGUGGGAUCACUAGGAUCAUACUCCAUACAUUACAUAUGGGACGAUGAGGCUCUUUUGCUAAAAUGAGGCUUCUCCAUCUCCAGUGAAAAGAAGCCAGAAUUCUUUUGCUGGGUUAAAAAUAUUUCUGCAUUCUAUAGAGAAAGGAGAGGUCCCUCUGAUUAACUAUACAGACUAAGGUGGACCUGUGUGUGUGUGUGUGUGUGUGUGUGUGUGUACAUGUGCAUAUACACACAUACAUGAGUGUGUGCAUGUGAAGAGAGCGAUCACACUGGUCUUCACAUGAAGUUCUUAACUCUUCUGCCUUUUCCCCAAAGUAUGCCCUUAUCUUUAUGUAACAGCUGCUGGUUCUGGAAGGGUUUGGACCUCUUUAAACUCAAAGGAAAGCAACAUGAAGGUUCCCUCAUGUGGCGCAGUGGUGGUGGAGCAGAGGACAGAGAGGAGGGGUUAGAUGUUGCAUCCCACGGCAGAUCAUGGCUGGGGACUGGGAGGCAAACCUUGCAAGCCACCCUGUAGGGGCAGUUCUCUCCCAGGCCCAGAGGAGGCGAGAUCACCCGCACUAAUUUGUACAUAUCCUUAUACGGGAUCCUGCCGCUGUAAAGGAAGCACAGGUGGGUUAAUAGGACACUCAGAGAAGGGUAGAAAAGAAAUGACAGCUUAGCCAUGAAGAGGAUGGCUGAAAGAGGUCAGAGCAGCUUCUUUCCUUGGGCCUGGCAAAGCCAGACCAGGAGAGACUGAAAACAGUAAGCACCAGAGAACCAUUACCUUGCCAAACUGCACUGCUGCAAUUUUCUAAGGAAAUCAGAGCCUGGUCAAUGCCAAAGGGAACUGCCUAAUGACCAAGAGCACCCCAUUAUACCUAUCUGGACCAUACCUGGCCAGAUGCAGACACAGCCCUGGCUCUAGCUAGGCUUCUAGGAACAAAGCCUGCCAAUUCACAAAUGACUCAGACCGCUGUCCAGAGCAGAUGUCAGGCUGCCUUGAAGUGGACUGCAGAACUGUUUGCUUUUCACAGACACUGAUUACAGUCAGUUACUCAGACCCACUUUUCAGGGGCAGUGGGAAGUCAGCGGCUUUCUGCAGUCUGGAAGAGACAAAUUUCCCAUUAGGCUAAUUAGCAAGGAGCACAGUUGGCAUGAGGGAAAUCACAAAGGGCUUUGUUUCUCUUUGUGACAGAUUUUUCUGCGUUCAGCUUGGGCAAGUCUUCUUUACUCAGUAGGAGCCUGCUGAGGUCUGUGUUCAGAGAGCAGCCAGGGAGGAAGCCAUGGACACUCUCCCCGCAGCCCUCUUUCUGCCACUCAGCCAACAGCAGCUUGGCUGGAGCCAGCCAGAAUUCUAGCUAUCUUACCAACCCUUUUCCCAGGAGCCCAUUAGAGAGUACCAGCUUCCUAUGGAAGGGAUAGAAUUAAUGAUUGAUUAAUUUUCAGUGGCUACAGCAUCUUCUCUGUCAGCGUCCAGAAAAAGAAGCAACACCCAGGGAUCUGCAGGUCUGUAUACACCCUGGAACAGACCAGGGUUUCCGCUGGAAAUUAUAAGCACAACAUCUCCACCUCUGUGCAUUCAGUCCUUGCUUGCAACUGUCUGGAGACUAUUGCUUCAGCCCAGCUUUACUCUUUCUAGGCUUUUUGAAAUUUGAGGGUUGAUUCCUCCUAUUCUUCCAGAUAGCAGCUCAUCAGUACCUCCAAGUCUCUCAACUCUUGAGAGGAGGUAAUUUAGCCAGUUGUCCUUUCAUUUUGCCUUAGUGAGAUUGGGAAGUAGGUGGGUUGGGAGUGGCUAUAGACUGACAUUUUUUGCAACUGGUUUCAGCCCCCCUUUUGAAGACACUGGCUCACAUUACUUUUGUUAGUCUUCCUCACCCACCUUAUAAAGAAAGCCAACCAAACUCUAACUAACUAGAAUGAAUUACACUGUGAAUUACAAAGCACACAGAAGAAAUUCUUCUUUGUCUUUAUGCUCUUUCCCAGUCCACACGUCUGAGUCUCAUGAUUCAUCCUCAUGGAAUCAUUUCUUCCCAGCAACUGGAAUAAGUAGGGAGGAGCAUGUUUUAUACACACAGCAUUUGGAUCCCAAGAUAAGUGAAACCACAAGAAGCUGGGGUUUCUGGAAGCCAAGGAUACCUGAGUGAGCCCAGAUGAACAAUGGACUUUUUUGCUCACAGUUGGUUUCUCCUCUUGGCAGUGAGCACCGAUUCCUGGA
rnacentral:lncRNA from 10 species